rnacentral:rRNA from 1 species
UACAGAGGCCCCGAGCGUUAGGCGGAAUUACUGGGCGUAAAGCGUGCGCAGGCGGUUUUGUAAGUCUGACGUGAAAUCCCCGGGCUUAACCUGGGAAUUGCGUUGGAGACUGCAAGGCUGGAGUCUGGCAGAGGGGGGUAGAAUUCCACGUGUAGCAGUGAAAUGCGUAGAGAUGUGGAGGAACACCGAUGGCGAAGGCAGCCCCCUGGGUCAAGACUGACGCUCAUGCACGAAAGCGUGGGGAGCAAACAGG